AUUUUAAUAGCUUAUGAAGAGCAUAGUACUGAAGAUACUAAGGAAAUUUAUUUUUUAAAAUA
rnacentral:tRNA from 1 species